CGGAAACAGACAGCUGACGGAUGUAUUGAUCCCCACGUUCCACCUCCGAAUUGUUAAGCGGCCUGAAGCGGCACAUCACUUUGAUGGUGCACUCCGCCGGGUCCGCCAUCUUCGCACAGAUCUGGGAUGGGACGGGAUGAUGAGGAGUCUCGACACCAGCUCGAUGCUACCGCCGCCCGCGGGAGGGAGCGCCCAUUCAGCAUAAAGAACAACAGAGGAGCCGAGAGCUGUGCAAACACGUCCUACACCCAUCAAAAGCCACUGGCAUCAUAAUACCAGCAGUUGACAAUAGCAAGACAAACAAGCUUCAACUCAAC